AAUGUGUCAAACUUUGUUGGCGCUUUUUCUUACCAGGAAAGUCAACGAAAAAUGGAUACCCAGGGUGGUUUUUAAAAGUAGGGCCAAAUCAGUGAGCUAUUUGCGAUAGCUGACCCUUGUGCUGGAAGUCUGGAAGAACACUUGCAGUUAGAGGCCGGGUCGUCUUCGAACAACUGUGAGAAAUAUGCAUCGUUAAGCGACACGCUACAGAGAACGCUGGGAACCGCGUCAGUGUGCACCUGUACCUCUUUACUGUACAAGGCCUCAGCAACGUUGAUGCAAGCCCUGAUGAAGAGCUUGCUCGCUUUCGUCUACGCGUUUCACGGUCGUUCGAAUGUUCGGAAAUGGUCUGUGCGUUCACCCCGGACGCGGAUUCCGUUGUAACCGUGAUAUGUUCUGGAAAGAAGGGACGCGACGAACUGGUGGCGGGCGCGUCUUCUUUUCUCUUUGCUAUGAUAAACGGAAACUGGAGCAACGAAAACCCAGGCGAUCCGUUUCCAGCUUGUACUCGUUCUCUUCAGUACAUUAGUGUUCGCCUGCACUGCAUCUAGGUUUACAAAAAACGAAACAGUGAACUGCUCGUUCCGGUCCUGUAUUUCCAUUUGUUUCCGAUCUUGUUCUUGAUAAACAGCCUCAACAACCGUACAAGUGCAGUCAGGGCUUUCAGAUUCAUAGGUCGUUUGAGGUUGGUCGGUUGUCUGUUCAGAGAGGCGCUUUCAACGCACUGACGCUGGGAUUCCCUAUACCACCGGUAUCAGGAUGACUCGCGCCACUGCUGAACAGGGGUUCGUAAGAAACCGGACACCAUGAUCGAAAUCGAACGUGCAAGCCGCCAAUCUUUUAAUCUUCUUACGUGUGGCGUGCUUGGCUCACGCAUGCUUCUAACUAUCGAUGUCUCCGUUUCGAAGCAACUCGUGAGCGCAACGAGCCACGCCAGUGACUGGACGACGAAAAAACUCGGCAUCAUUCUCUGACGACUCGGUUGCAAGCUCACGCCGAAAGUUCACGGAAAGUUUCACGUCGAAGAAUCGACUUCGCCCGGAGCAGAAAUCCUCCUCGCUUUGUGGCCAUCGAUGAAACGGCAUUCGACGGCACUAGCAUCUCGAUGCCUCUCAGGGGGUAUGCUCCAAGAGGCUCCCCGUCUCUUCUAUUUGCAUGGAAAUGGAUUUUGGACUCGGACAUGAGUCACCUACGUAAUCCAUUCCAAUGCAGAGUGCGUCUCCGCUCUACAUACACGUAGCGUAGACGGACCGAAAUCUCUCGACGUUCUCUCGGGCCUGGAUUUUGCCUCCAGUACCUGUAUCAUCAUGGAGAACGUCGUGUUCCCACGAUUCUCUACCGAAUCUAUAAAGCAUGUGCG